GGGCUUACCUGUUUUAUUUGUUCUAUAUGCAGUUUGAAGAUUGCACAUUUGAUUGGCUAUACUGGCCCCAAGCGCGCCAACCUUACUCUGCUGAUACAGUUGAUUAUAUUAAGUCCUUAGAUGCUGAAACUGUUGAUUAUAUGAAUCUUGUUGAGUGCAGAGAGAAAUGCUUCAGAAACUGUUCUUGUAUGGCUAGCUUAUUCAAACUCAGACACCAGGGGAUCGGGGGGUGGUUGUGCUAUGUGGUUUGGUGAUCUUAAUGACUUGAGGGUUCACCUAGCUGAUGCAGAACACGAUCUGUAUGUCAGAGUUCCUGCUUCGGUGUUAGAGACAAACAAUGAAAGCAAGGUCAAGAUUGGUGCUGCAAUUGGAGGCACUGUUGCCUUAUUAUGGUGGCAAUAUACCAGUGAAGUUCAGUUCUAAUAAAAUUAGGAAUAGUUCUGUUCUGAUUGAUGGCACUGAGAAGUAGAGAACUAUGUUUCAAUGCAGCUUGAUAUGAUUGGAAUUGAGGCCUACAUGAACUAGGCGUGGAUCUCGUUUAGUUGGUAAACCAGAAAUUUCAUGUUUUUAAUAAGAAUAAUUCUCCACAUACAAGCGUUUUUUUAUACAAGUCUUUACAAAUUAUUUAUAUUAACGCGCUUCGAACCGUUACUGCACAUUUUCACUGCACCUUCUUCUUCUUCUUGCUGCACGUUCUUCUUUCCCUUCCUCUUCUUCUUCUUCCU